GUGCUCAGCUUCCGGCCAGCACAUAUACUAAGAAUGGAACGAUAAACAGAGAAAUAUCAUGGCCCCUGCGCAAAGGAUGACACGCAAAUUCGUUGAAGCGCUUUCCAUAUUU